GACGAACCGUGCGAACGUUGUUCGGAAUCACUGGGCUUAAAGGGCGCGUAGGCGGCCUAUCACGUCCGGGGUGAAAUCCUCCAGCUCAACUGGAGAAGUGCCUUGGAUACUGAUUUGCUCGAGGGAGGUAGGGGUCGAGGGAACUUCUGGUGGAGCGGUGAAAUGCGUUGAUAUCAGAAGGAACGCCGGUGGCGAAAGCGCUCGACUGGAUCUCUUCUGACGCUGAGGCGCGAAAGCUAGGGGAGCAAACGGG
rnacentral:rRNA from 1 species